rnacentral:ncRNA from 2 species
GCUCCAGUUUGUGGUGAUUUGGGCCGGCCGGCUUGCUGCCACGUUAAAGAAGUUGCUAAAGGGCCGGGUUCUUGUCGUA